GUAAGCCGAGCAAUUAAAAUAUAAGGACGAACUUAUGCAAGCAAACGUAGAGGAGUGGCAAUCUAUUAGUGCAAUAGUAUAAAUAAGCCAUUCAAAAUAAUGACUGUUCCAAAAAUACUUAAUCAACGUAUCGAUAGCAUCCGCUAAAAUCCAAAAAAUUACCCAAUACAAAAUGUUUAACCACAAAAUGUUCUUAUUGUUAAUUUUGGCAGUGGCUCUGUUUGCUGCCAAAGCGUAUGCUUGCACUCAAGGCGGCGGAAGUUGCCAAAGUGACGGCAAUUGUUGCAGCGGAACUUGUUAUAAUCUUCCUGAAAUAGGAGAUAAGUUUUGUGGAACCUCCAUUUAAUUGGUUAAAAUUCUAUAAUUUAUUUUUUUCCCAUAAAAUUACUCACCUAUACGGUGAAAUAAUUUUUAAAACUUUGAAUUUGCAAUAAAUUUUUUGUUCAUGGAAAUAAAUAAAUUAAACUAAUAA